UACGAAGGGGGCUAGCGUUGCUCGGAAUUACUGGGCGUAAAGCGCACGUAGGCGGCUUCUUAAGUCGGUGGUGAAAUCCUGGAGCUCAACUCCAGAACUGCCUUCGAUACUGGGAGCUCGGAGUCCGGGAGAGGUGAGUGGAACUGCGAGUGUAGAGGUGAAAUUCGUAGAUAUUCGCAAGAACACCAGUGGCGAAGGCGGCUCACUGGCCCGGUACUGACGCUGAGGUGCGAAAGCGUGGGGAGCAACA
rnacentral:rRNA from 1 species